GACGAACGCUGGCGGCGUGCCUAAUACAUGCAAGUUGAGCGCUGAAGGUUGGUACUUGUACCAACUGGAUGAGCAGCGAACGGGUGAGUAACGCGUGGGGAAUCUGCCUUUGAGCGGGGGACAACAUUUGGAAACGAAUGCUAAUACCGCAUAAAAACUUUAAACACAAGUUUUAAGUUUGAAAGAUGCAAUUGCAUCACUCAAAGAUGAUCCCGCGUUGUAUUAGCUAGUUGGUGAGGUAAAGGCUCACCAAGGCGAUGAUACAUAGCCGACCUGAGAGGGUGAUCGGCCACAUUGGGACUGGGACACGGCCCAAACGCCUACGGGAGGCAGCAGUAGGGAAUCUUCGGCAAUGGACGAAAGUCUGACCGAGCAACGCCGCGUGAGGGAAGAAGGUUUUCGGAUCGUAAAACUCUGUUGGUAGAGAAGAACGUUGGUGAGAGUGGAAAGCUCAUCAAGUGACGGUAACUACCCAGAAAGGGACGGCUAACUACGUG
rnacentral:rRNA from 1 species